UACGUAGGUGACCAGCGUUGUCCGGAUUUACUGGGCGUAAAGAGCGCGCAGGCGGUCGUUCAAGUCGAGUGUGAAAGCCCCCGGCUCAACUGGGGAGGGUCAUUCGAUACGGGCAGACUUGAGGCAUGCAGGGGAGAACGGAAUUCCUGGUGUAGCGGUGAAAUGCGCAGAUAUCAGGAGGAACACCGGUGGCGAAGGCGGUUCUCUGGGCAUGUUCUGACGCUGAGGAGCGAAAGUGUGGGGAGCGAACAGG
rnacentral:rRNA from 1 species